ensembl:lncRNA
AGAGCGAGACACUCACAACUGAAACAACUUACCUGCUGCUCUUACAAUGAAAAAAUUUCAUGUUUCUGCCAAAUGUUUGGCAGAAAACAAGAGGUGCACACUUCUUUUCCCGUUAAGUGAUUCUUCAUGUUCCAGUGGAAAGAUAUCUCUAUGUCAUGGGCUUCAAAUCACUAGCAGGGAGACUGCUACAAUUUCAGCUGCAACAUUUGAUGUAUAAAUCCCUUAUCCCAUCUGUUCGCUUAAUCCAGGAUUCUGAAACACGUUCAGGGAACAGAAAAGGUUCCUGUCCUGCUGUCUGGGGGAGAGUUUUGGUAGCCUGCCCGGCCAACCCUAGCCCAGAGUAGUCCCAGGUGUGGGAACAAGGCUGCCCACCAUCGCAUUGGCAUCAACAUAACUGAUAGCUCUCAACAUGCUGCAUCAGCGAAAGCACACAGACAAAUGAGGCUGGCCAUGGAGUCACACCAGCCUCAGCAGGACCUGUACAGAUCAGCUGUGAUCACCAGGGUUGCACAACCUUCCACAAGUGAGAAGUGGACUCUGGACAGCGAGAUAUGCAUUACAAGAUAAAGCUGUCCUGCUAUGCCACAGCAGUUGAAGAGUCUGAGCAUGCCUCAGUGGCCCUGCGCUCCCAGCACACAAAGCCAUCUGCAGCCACCAGUCAUUUGGAGCAGCCUCUCACAUGCUGGCUUUCCUACACGGAGUUUCUCACAGCAGGAUCAGCCGCCCUUCCAGCACAUCACAGGUGUUCUCCACAUGGCGUGAGCAGCAUUUCUCUCCUCCGGUUCUGGGAGAGGAAAUUCUGCAAACCAAAUGUGAACUCAGGAAAGGGAGGUCCUAGCAAACUUGCUGUGCCAAAGGCAAACACAAAAGGCUCACCUCUGCAGUUGUGCCCGACUGAGCAGUGCCAGCAAAUAGGGGAGUGCGGUGCCAGACUCAUACAGAGUGGUACGGGGUCAAGGCAAGGCUUUUUGCUGGGAACAGGGUGUGUGCGGGCUGAAAAGCACUGAGGAGGAACUGAGGCCAUGGCUGAUCCUGGGGGGUGCGCAGAUCAGCUCUGCAGGCGAGGUUAGUGCCUUUGCUCCUCUGUCAUCACCAGUCCCUGAGAGCAAUCACCACCCACCAACAGUUCCUCAAGAUAAGACUGAGCCAGCUGGGAGAAGAAAUCCUUUGAUAUUUCCCUGCCUCGCUGACUGCGUUUUUCACAGCUCACAUCUCAGAGAGGACCAGCAGAGAUGACUGGGCACGUAAGAAUAACACUGGGCUGGUAUGCAAGGAAGGUGCUAAUCUUCUGCCAUGUGUGUAGGGCCUGGGCAGAAUGAGGCAGAGCGCAGUGCUGGAGUCUCCCUGAUCCUCCCAUGGAUAUCAGCAGCUGCCACACCUGGAGUCUGCAGCAAAGCUCCUUCCUCCAGAGGCCAAGAGCUGAGCCUACUGUUUCCAGCAAGAGAGAAGCCUGCGCUUGCUGGGGGACUUGCUGGUGGGGCAGUGCUGUGUGGAAGGGCUGUGCUCACACCAUGAGAUGAGGCCAUCUAACAGACGAAGCAUGCAGGAUUUGCACUGACCGACGCCUGCACGGCUUCAGAGCUGUUUAUGGAUGUAAGGCUUGUCGUGGCUCUUCUCCCAGACACCUCGCUGCUGUCACAGCUCAGCGUUUGCCAUAUGUUUCAGCCCAGUGCUCGAAGCCUAAUAAAAAUGUCUAGCUGUAAAUCACCAGAGGUGUAGGCUGUGACCCUCUUUACUCCUACCUCUUCCACCACCUCUCAGCCACCCUUUUCCAGAUACUGGAAGCAGUAUAGCAAGAGUGCUUCUCCCAUCGGCCUCCUGCCAGAGCAGUGAUGCCAGAACACAGCUGUUUGCAAGUGCAUGGGGAAAGCUGUGCUGGGCUGAAAUGCAAAAUGAGGCCAAUGUGUCCCCACGGUCGCUUCUUCAGGAUACUUCUUUGUCCCACAUGGAGACAGAAGCUCCUGCUUAAGUAACCCUGGGGACUUGGAUCAGACAUCAUUAAAAGCAGUGGGGCAGCCAGCCCAUGGGGAGGAGUGGCAAAUGCGGUGCGAAUGAUCAUGUCCUGCAUGGGACAGACCAGGAGGCAAAACUGCUGAAGAUGGCUCUCCUCACACGGAGCCGGGAUCAUCCACCCCAUUCAUACACUGUUCUCAACAACGUGCAAAGAGGUAAAUGCAGGAGAAUAAGCUAAUGUCCCUGUAGGAGAAACCAGGUGUAUUUGACCUCUUCAGUCAACGUGAAGGAUGUGAAGAUUCGUACACACUCCCUCCCCAUCAUGCUGUAGAGAUUUCACCAUCCUCUUGCCCAACCUGCAGCUCCUGCUUCAUCCAUCACCUACACUCAGAAAAUUAUAAAGCACCAUCCUAUUUCACCAUCACACAGAGCCGAGGCAAGCCUCUCUGCAGCCUCACCUGCUGCUGUAGCUUUCCUCUGCUUGAGGCACAGUCCACCCAGAAACCAGGGGAGCUUGUGCAACUCCUCUGACAUGUCCCGCAAGCAGCUUUCAGGUCAGUAAGAGCCUCAACGAGGACUUUGAGGCAGGCUUGAACACCCACGGAUUUUGGAAGUGUUGACUGUUCAAGUACUGGAGUAGACAUUUUGGAGUCAACUCUUGGACUUACUGGUUUUGCCAGAUAUUUUUUACUUACUUCACCCCUGUUAGACAUAGCAGGCAUGUGCUUCCAGAAGACACAUGGGCAGUCCAAC